CGCACAUAUUCGAUUCACGCUGUUACAACGUGCGAGCCAACGGACUAAAACAGCGGAGACGUUAACCCGCUCACUCAUGUCAGGACAUGAAGUGCAAGCAGAAGCAUAACUUUCUCUCCGGCUGACCAGGCAGGAUCCAUUUUAAGACGGCAGAGAGGUAAUGGAAAACAUUGAAAGCUAGCCAUAGAGAAGACAACACAGUCAGCUGAUAUGGUCAGAAGUUAGUCCUGGACGGACUUGGUCUGUCCCAUAGGAAAGGGGGCAUGGCUUGCAAAACAAGUCUCUCUGGGGAGAGAGAGGAGGCCUCCACCUCCAAAAUGAGUGUCCUUACAGACCACCCCACACCUAUUGAAGCUAAGAGGUUGAAGCAGCAGCGAGAAGAGAUAAGAUCAGUCUCACCUGUGCCCAGCUGUGUGUCCAUGAAGAGUGAUCGGUCUAUGACGC